rnacentral:tRNA from 1 species
GCAGUGGUGGUUCAGUGGUAGAAUUCUCAUCUUCCAUGUGGGAGACCAGGGUUUGAUUCCUGGCCAAUGCA